ensembl:snoRNA
UGUCAGUGUGUAGAAACCCAGAGACUUGCUGCUGUUCUCUUGGUUUGUACCAGGAUGAGAGAGACGCGCUUCCUGUGCUUUCUGUCUUUGUGGCAGCCCAGAUUGCGUGGGGAAAUCUACCU